AUGGAGGCCGCGGCGGCGGCCUCCGACGAAACCCUAGCCGCCGUUUUCGCCCAGCUCAAGCCCCACACCAUCGCCCUCCUGGACGUCCUCCGCAGCCGCUCCCCCGCCUCCAAUUCCGCCGCCGCCUCCUCCCUCCGCGCCAUGGGCGCCUUCUUCCGCUCCGUCCCUGCCCCCGCCUUGCAGCCCUGCUUCGACUAUACGGCGUUUCCAUUGCUCAUGCUCCUAGAUGCAGCGGUGCAGUGCAGGAAGGAAGGCAAGGCAGCGGGGCAGGGUGUCGGGGAGCUUGUCAUCACCGAUGCCAUCGCCGAAGGCGGGCUUGCUUGCCUUGAGUUGCUCCUCACCAAGUGCCGCCUCACCUCGCUCAAUCAGAUGGUCGCGUUGCUGAAAAAGUUGACAUCUGGGGCAAUACUUUCACCUUCGGAGGCUUCUGAAGAAUUCCGCCUAGGCAUCAUAAGAUGCUUCAGAGCCAUGAUUCUGCAGCUGCAAUCAUGCUCGGAUAAGUCCUGUUCGUGUAAUCAAGCAACUGUAUUACCUACGAGCCCAAUCAUUCUAAGUUCGGAAAUUGGUAGUGUGGUUCACCCAAAGCAUUCUGCAAAACCAGAGGAGUGCUUGCUUGCAUUCCUCCGAUCAGAAAAUGCUUCACCUGCUGUCGGACAUUGGCUCUCACUUCUUCUACAGUCAUCAGAAUUUGAGGCAUCAAGAGGUCACCGUGGCAGCGCAGGUGUUAGAAAGGAAUCAUUGCUCGCAUUGCGUGUUCUUAUUGCCAAGGUAGGUUCUGCUGAUGCACUUGCCUUUUUCCUUCCUGGUAUCGUCAGUCGUCUUGGAAAGCUUCUCUACACAUCUAAGACAAUGAUUAGCGGCGCUGCUGGGAGUGCUUUGAGCAUUGAGCAAGCCAUUCUUGGAUUGACUGACGCUUUGAUGAUAGUCCUAUGUGACAAGGAAAAUUUCAGUGCACUUGAUAUUCCUAGUGACAGUAGUUCUGCCCAAUGUUCUGGUGGCAGUGGUUCUAGUGACCAUGUAUUGCUGAAGCUUCGCCAGUUGCCAACCAAAACGUUUUCUGAACAGACAGGCAAUUCUGAAACUACAGAAGACACUACCUCUGAUGUCAGUAAUAACUCUGCUGAUAGAAGAGCACUGCAUGUAAAACGCACAAGAAAAUGGCUCGAGGAAACAGCAACUAAUGUUGGCAAAUUGUUUACGGAGACAUUUCCACAUCUUUCUGUUCACUCAUCUGAGAAAGUAAGGAGGUCGGUGGUUAUUGGUGUAAGGGGGCUGUUGUCUAGUUGCAGCCUCACAUUAAUGAGAAGCAAGAUGUUACUUGUGGAGUGCUUAUGUGUUCUAGCAUGUGAUGAUGCGGCAACUGUGUCUGAGGCUGCACAAGAUUCUCUUGAUUAUCUUUUCUUGAAGGGUCAACAUUUUCUAUCAGGAAAUGAGGUUUCUGAUAUAUUUACCAGGCUGCUUGAAAAGUUACCGCAAGUGGUACUUGGAAGCGAGGAGAUCACUGCCCUUUCUCAUGCCAGGAAACUGUUGGCUCUAACUUUCUAUGCCGGCCCUCAGUUUCUGAUAAAUCACCUUCAUCGCUCUCCUGUUGUUGCUGCUCGCUUCUUCGAUUGUUUGGGUUUAUGCAUUAGUCAUAGCUCACAGUUUUCUGGUUCCAUGGACAAGCUGAUUGUAUCAAAGCCACUAUCUGUUGGAUAUCUGUAUUCAGUUGCUGAGUUAAAGAAUGGAGCCUAUGUUAAUGAUGCAAGUCACAGUUCUCACUCUCAGUAUGCAACGUCUUCAUCUGCAGGCCCAAAAAUAUCUGUUAUUGGGGACAAUGGUUUGCCAAAUGCAAUAAAUGGUACAGUUGAAUAUGAGCUCCCCCAUGUACCUUCAUGGUUUGUUCAUGCAAGUAGCCAGAGGCUAUACUCCGCUCUGGCAGGAAUCAUAAGGCUGGUUGGUCUUUCAACAGUUUCAGGGCAAGGAACCAGUGCAUCUUUAUCUGUUUUUGUUGAUAUUCUACUCAAUCAGUUCCGGAGGUUAAGCACUGAGCUGCGCGCUGAAGACACUCACAGAUAUGGUGUGCAGAGGUGGUACAUGAAGAGUGAUUCUGGACAAAAACUGCGCCAGGCAAGCUCUGCUGUUUGCAUGCUCAAUGAGCUCAUAUAUGGUCUGUCAGAUCAGUCUCUCUCUGUGUGUUUGCAAUUAUUCAACAAGAGUUCAGCACAAGUGGUAAGGGUACCUGGUCAAAAUGACCACUUAACUUCAAGUGGUCUAAAUAGCGGAGUAAGAGAAGUUUGGAAGAUAAGUGAGCGAAUGGACACUAAAGACGAUAUUAUUCACUGUAUUGGUAGUAUACUACAUGAGUAUAUGUGUCCGGAAGUGUGGGAUCUUCCAACAGAACAGAACUCUGAGCUAUGCCUAGCAGAACUUAAUGUUCCAAUGCAUUUCUUCCGUGAUACAACUGCACUACAACAAGUAAUGCUUGACGGGAUUGGGGUCUUUGGUAUUAUUCUUGGUCAAGAUUUUGCACAGAGUGGGUUUAUGCACUCUUCACUUUAUCUUCUACUCCGGAAACUUAUCAGCUCAAGUGCACAAAUUAGAAUUGCGUCAGAUGCUGUCUUAAGAACACUUGCUGCCGCUGGUGGUUACUCUACGGUUGGCCAAUUCGUUGUGGCGAAUGCAGAUUACAUUGUCGACUCUCUUUGCAGACAAUUGCGCCAUCUAGACCUCAACCCCCACGUCCCUGAUAUUCUUGCUUCCAUGCUGUGUUACAUUGGUGCUUCUCGUGACAUUUUACCAUUUUUGGAAGAACCGAUGCGGGCAGUUUCUUCAGAGCUGGAGGUUCUUGGUAGGCAUGAUCAUCCCCAUCUAACUGUUCCAUUUCUGAAGGCAGUCUUUGAGAUCGCCAAGGCAUGUACUCAUGAAUCUAUUAGCUUACCAGAUGAGGUGCAAUCAUUUUCUGUGAAGGUCAGAUCAGAGCAUCAAGCAGUUGAAAGUUUGAUAGAGAAGAGAAGAGAAACCAGCGUAAUGCCUGGUACAAUGGAUGUUGAUCCCCAGCCUGAUUUUCUGAGCUUGGAAUAUUGGGAGGAUUUACUUUGCAAUCUAAAUGAUAUGAGAAAAUACAGGAGAAUAGUUGCAUCUCUGGCUGGGUCUUGCUUAUCAGCUGCCACCCCACUUCUCUCCUCAACCAAGGAAGCAGCAUGUCUUGUGGCCCUAGACAUCGUGGAGAAUGCUGUUGUAUCUAUUGCCAAGGUUGAGGACGCGUAUAAGUGUGAAAUUGAAAUCAAAGCUGUUAUCAAGGAGGCAGUUCAGCAAUUGUCCUUGGAUGAACUUCUUGAUGAUAUGGACACUGCUGAAGAUGUUGACGAGAAUAGACUACUCCCAGCUAUGAACAAACUAUGGCCAUACCUGGUUAUCUGUCUUAAGAACAAGAUCUCAAUGCCUAUUGUCAGAAGAUGCACAGAAGUUUUAGGCAGAACCAUUCAAAUAUCUGGUGGUAAUUUUUUUGUACGCCGGUUUCAUAAGGAUGGAUACAUUAUUUGGAGGUUGCUGGCCUUGUCUCCAUUCCGACGGAAAACACUGUCAUCAAUGGAUGAAAAAGCAAUUAUUUUACCAUAUAGGAAUACCUCACUUACCUCAGAGGAACCUAUGGCUGAGAUAUCCAGCCAAAAGAUUCAGAUUGCAGUCUUGGACAUGAUCACUGAAAUAUCUUCCCACAAAAGGAGUGCUAUUGCAUUGGAAAGUGUGUUGAAGAAGAUCUGUGGCCUUGUGGUAGGGAUUGCUUAUAGUGGUUUGAUAGGUCUGCGAGAAGCUGCUAUAAGGGCACUGACUGGACUUGCCUGUAUGGAUGCUGACCUCGUGUGGCUUCUUCUGGCAGAUGUGUAUCAUUCACUGAACCAAAGGGAUAUGCCCUUACCACCUAUUCAAGAUCUGGUGGAGUUAUGUGAUCUUUUGCCCCCUCCAAUGUCCUCUAGAGAGUACCUCUUUGUGCAGUAUGGUGGUGAGGGUGUUAGAUAUGAUAUAGAUCCUUCAUCUGUGCAUGAGGUGUUCAAAAGGAUGCAGGACACAGUUUUCAAAUGA
rnacentral:rRNA from 1 species